GUUCCCUUAGCUCAGGGGCAGAGCGGGUGACUCCAGUUCGGUCGGUUCACACACCGCCCAGCGACAUCAUCAGGUCAAGCGUUCAAAUCGCUUAGGGGACU